AGUGAACGCUGGCGGUAGGCCUAACGCAUGCAAGUCGAACGGCAGCACAGUAAGAGCUUGCUCUUACGGGUGGCGAGUGGCGGACGGGUGAGGAAUACAUCGGAAUCUACUUUUUCGUGGGGGAUAACGUAGGGAAACUUACGCUAAUACCGCAUACGACCUACGGGUGAAAGCAGGGGAUCUUCGGACCUUGCGCGAUUGAAUGAGCCGAUGUCGGAUUAGCUAGUUGGCGGGGUAAAGGCCCACCAAGGCGACGAUCCGUAGCUGGUCUGAGAGGAUGAUCAGCCACACUGGAACUGAGACACGGUCCAGACUCCUACGGGAGGCAGCAGUGGGGAAUAUUGGACAAUGGGCGCAAGCCUGAUCCAGCCAUACCGCGUGUGUGAAGAAGGCCUUCGGGUUGUAAAGCCCUUUUGUUGGGAAAGAAAAGCAGCAGGUUAAUACCCCGCUGUUCUGACGGUACCCAAAGAAUAAGCACCGGCUAACUUCGUG
rnacentral:rRNA from 1 species